rnacentral:rRNA from 1 species
AUUGAACGCUGGCGGCAGGCCUAACACAUGCAAGUCUAGCGAGCGGCGGACGGGUGAGUAAUGUCUGGGAAACUGCCUGAUGGAGGGGGCUAACUACUGGAAACGGUAGCUAAUACCGCAUACCAUCAGAUGUGCCCACAUGGGAUUAGCUAGUAGGUGGGGUAACGGCUCACCUAGGCGACGAUCCCUUGCUGGUCUGAGAGGAUGACCAGACACACUGGAACUGAGACACGGUCCAGACUCCUACGGGAGGCAGCAGUGGGGAAUAUUGCACAAUGGGCGAAAGCCUGAUGCAGCCAUGCCGCGUGUGUGAAGAAGGCCUGCGGGUUGGAAAGCACUUUCAGCGGGGAGGCGUUACCCGCAGAAGAAGCACCGGCUAACUCCGUGCCAGCAGCCGCGGUAAUUC